AGUUGACUGGCUGACCUCGCGCCGUCCACCACCCCCUUCCCUCUGUUUCUCUGUUUUUUCUUUCUCUUUCUGCGGGUUUCCUGAAUUUGCAGGUUUGUCCUAGCUUUGUCUUGCUCGAGAUUUACGAAAGAGCAAAUCCACGGAAUGAGCUGAGACGGAAUGAAUGUUUAAUGCAGAAGAUAGGUCAGGUGGAGAACGCUUCUUCAGUGGGCGGUUUGUGUGGUUCCGUGGGGGAUUAGUGGGGGUUGUUCACGGAGGUAAAAAGAGAAGUGGGGGCGGGGGGCAAUUGUAACUAGGUAGAUGUAACCCUGAGUGAAUUGACAGGGUCAAAGUGCCAUUACCUUUGUGGGAAGUAUCCCAAGACACAGAGAUGGACACCUUGGCCAUUGUUGGGAGAAGAACCAGAGUCGUAGAGGUAUUGACGAUUCUAAUGUAAAGAAGCUGUCGCAUGUUAUCAGGUCACAUAUGAGGACUUAUGACAAAUGUGCAUAGUACUUUUCAUUUUGAGCUAAUUCGAUAUUUUUAGUUGUAGGGCAAGAUGUACAUAAAAGAUAACCUGAAACUUCAAUUCUGGUUUUGCUUUUAGGCUACGUUUAUUAAUGUGCCCUACCUUUGCUGGGUUUUUGUUUUGUCUUGUUUUGUUUUGUUUUUUUUUUUUACAAAAAGAGCCAGUGACCACACUCAGGGAGUAAGUUGUGCACUGUCUACCAAACAUUUUACUGAUAUUAACUUUGCUGAAUGUGUAAGACAUGACAGGAAAACUUGGGGAAACAUUUCUUUGUCGAAAGCACAGUAUCUUUAUCUGCAGGGGCGAAGACGGUUGACAGUACACUGUAUUAAUAUAUACUCUAUAGGUGUCCAGUAUUAAGCAUCUCUCAUCUUUUCUUGCAUAUCUGAGAAUUUUUUUUUUUCUAAAUCUAUUUGAAAGGGCAGGAACUAGUACCAAGUUCUCUUGAUUCCUUCUGUUCUGUUUAUACACACACACACACACACACACACACACAUUUUAAUAAAUAUACUUUGUGAUUUAAUGGGACUUUGAGAGUAAUUUUAUUUUUAACUACUGAAAUAGGGAUGGGGUUCCAGUUUAAUUUGCAGUGUUAUCUCUAAAAGCAAGAUUGAUGUAUUUUGUAAUUCUACAGUGCUUACUUCAGUGUUGAUGACAGUAAUAAGAAUAGUAUCUAUAGAAUAACUAGUUUUAAAGUUUUUUACUAAAAAUUCAUUCUCAAUUUAAUAACUAGAGAGUUACAGUAUUUUUUUUCAGCAUGUAUUUUAGUUUGUUUUAUCACCUUAAUCUCCCUAAUAGUCCUGCAAAUGUAGUACUUGUUCUAACCAUACUGGGAUCCCACAUUAUAUUAGGAUAUGGGCAAAGCGGUGUCAUGCAAGGAACAUGGGCAUUGGCUGGGGUCAGGCAGAGCUGGUUUUAAAUUCCAGCUCAGCUACUAACCAGCUCAGUUUCUUGGAAAAUUUCCGUAAUCUCUCUGAGCUUCAGUUUCCUGCAAAAUAGGUAGAAUCAUUCAUAUCUUCUAAGGUGUGAGAAUUAGAAGCAAUAUAAAUAAGAUGUCUGGCACUAGGGAUCUGUCUCCUGAUCCUUAAUCAGGAGAAGAGAAAUAGAGAGGUUGAGAUUUGACAGUAAACUAGUUGAGAGUAUUGUAAAAAAUGAGACAGAAACUCAGGUGUCUUGAUUCCCAGCUUUAAGCUUUCACCCUACACUAAGAUCCUUUUACUGCAAUGUUAGUAAAGUAGAAGAAAAUAAUUUAACAUCAGAAAUUUGAAUGAUUUUAUUUAAACUUCUUAAGAUAAUAAGAUGAAAAUAGCAAUAAUUUGGAAUUGUAUAUAAAUUAGUAUUUUCAGAACUCAGCUUCCAUUAGUAUUUACUAUAGUAUAAAAAUAAAUAUUUAACUUUUCUUAAAAUCUUUGGGUUUUGGAGUAAAAUAAGGUUCUUCACGCUAAGUAGUAGACGAAAUAGAAAUUUUUCAAAUGGCUCUCAUGUGUAAUUCUGAUUUCAAGUUGCCUGAAGAAUCUGCUGCAGCUUAGCCUGGUUAAAAGGGCACUGAAGAGUCAGGGAAUUAAGGUUGAAAUCCCAGCUCUGUCACUCUGUACUUUGUGAUCUUAGGUAUAAUUUUGAGUCCAAUUUCUUUACUUGAAGAGCCAAAAGAUUCAGAUUAGACUGCGUCUAAGAGGUUGUUCAACUCUAAAAUUCUAUGAUUUCCAAUUCAAAUGUGAUUUUAAAAAAGCAGGAUGUGUUUAAAUUGUAUUGCCUUUGAAACAGGAGGAAAUGAAAAUUAAGAAUAAUUGGGAAUUUUUUACUGACACUGACAUACAGUUGUGCAGACAGAAUCCACAUAUAUAUUUUUAAAGUUUGGAUGCUAAAUGUAUAGAGAAAUGCUUCUGAAUUGUGUCUGGAAAUUCCCCAAACACACAUACUUGUUUCCUGCUUGUUCUCUACCCUUUGUUACCCACUAGUUGUAAAUGGGUAAUGAGAAGUUCUUACCAACAUUCACUUUCAUACUGUAAGUUACUCACACUUUAUUUUUUAUUUAAAAAACCUUCAUUGCUAUUUUAGUUCAGAUUACUAGGGCAAAGGAGGCUUGUCAAAUCCAAAUGCUUUUUUAAUAUAGCUUAAAGUGCCAAAAUCAAAAAUCCAAACUUUUUCAAGUAUAAAAUCACUGGAUUUUUCUCAUUCCCGCAGAAAUGUUACAUUAAAAAUUACUACUUUUGAAAAGUGUCUUGGACACCCCUGGAAAAAAAAGAUAUUUUCACAUUUUAAUGCUUACAUUUGGUAGCAGAUUUCCUCUACUUUUUAGGUUUAUGUAUCUUGUUUAGUUGGUUUUUAGAUUUUCAAUAAUCUAAAUAAAAUGAGGCUAAUAGAAAAUCAUAAUUGCUUUAUCAUUCACGAGAAAAUAUUUUAAAUAUUUAAUAUCUUCAUUUAUUAUCAGGAGCAGGGAAUGAAGAUUUCCUUUAAUUUGGCAAUUGUGAGUCAGGCACAUCUUUCAAAGGGCACUGAUUUUCUAGUCUAGGACCCUUGUUGGUGAGACUGAGAUACAGAGGUUACUUGAAAAAUAUAGUGAGGUUAUUCUUAACUUUUGUAAAAGUAUCAGUGUGAAGUUACAUAGUUUUAAAUUUAUGGUUUAAGUCAGAUUAGGUUGUUAUUCAGACUAAGUUUAAAAACUAAACAUUUACUUCAAGUUAGUGUUGCCAAAAACAUUUAAGGUACAUUUUCAUGAGAUCUUAGUGAAUUAGCUCCCCAUUCCCCACGUUUGAUAAACUCUCAACUUUCUUCUUCACCUUAUUUUAUUUACUGCCCUCGAUUAUUUAAUCCUGAUUAUUUUCUGUUGUCCUAGUUUCUGAUAAAAAUUUUUAUGUAUGUUUUUACUCCUAAAUUGAAUUAUUAGAUUAUAAGAUUUUUAAGGAGAUUAAAUUUCUCAUCUGUAUUUAGCAAUCUUUGUUAUACUUAGGCUUUAGCUAAGAGUCAGGGAAGAAUAAGUUGCUUUGUAUAAAUUAUCGUUAAAGAUUAGGCACUUUUAUGUUAAAAAGUUUAAGGUUUUAAUAUUCAAGUUGAUUUUAGUUACUUAGAAGCUGACUUUUGGAAAUUAAGGUUUGUGGUGUUUUAACUUGUUUCUCAAGUAAUGUUAGUACUUAGAGCAAGGAAUGCGAAAGUAAAUAUGGCCAGCUGGAAUGUUUUGCGUGGCCCAGGAACAUUUAACAGAUGAACAUUUGUAAUCGAUUUGAUGAUAGGAGAGCACUAACUUUGAAUCCCAAUUAUGAGAAAUGUCUCCUCCAAAAUUUCCAUUCUUCUCAUUAGUAUUAGUAGACCUAUAUUACCAAAAAAUUGUACAUAUUAUUGUUGCAUUUUGAAUUUUAUCAAUAAAAAUUGUUGCAAAUUUGUUUUCUCUCUUGUUACAUAAGAACCUACAUACCUAAUAUCUUGGACCAUGCUUCUGGGUCCACAAAGCCUGAAGUAUUUACUUUCUGGCCUCUUACAGAAAAAAAUUGCCUGCCCAUGACUUAGAGUUUUAAUGAAUCAUACCAGCAAAGUUAGCAUUUGCUACACAAAUAGCUGUGUUUAAUUUACAUGUUCUAGUCCUCAAUAAUUGUUCAAGAUAGGUGUAAUGAUCCCUGGCAAUUGCUUAGGUUCUGUCUUUGUACAGAUUUAGUAGAUAUAAAAUUUACCAUUAAUAUUGGCUUAGGAACAUCAUUCUUCAUUUCUUUGUCACAGACAAUCAGGCAGCCUAAAGAAAGUUGCUUUUGAAAGUUUUACUUACCUUUUGUCUUCAUUAAGGUCUCUCGAAAAGACUUCAGAUAAAUCAUUUAGUGUGGAAUAAUCAGUUCAAGGGGGAGUACUUAAAAUAUGAUUUUUAACUUAAUUUGAUUAAUACUUAAAAUGAUUUACCUUAUUACUCAGCAUUUUGUUGAAUGACCUGUUUAGGUCUUAUGUUGAUUUCCUUUUUGACAAAUUUACAUUCAAAAUGGAAGUUUUCCAGUCGUUUUCCUAUAUAGUGUAAAAAAUGCGCAUCUUUCAAAUUCCUCCUUUCCCACUGCAUUAAAUUCUGAGUCUGUUUCUUAGAAAUAUAAUGUAUUUUUAGAAUUACCAAGAAGAAAUGCCAGUUUGACUUAGGUGAACAAUUACAGUGGUAGCAAAACAAAGCUGAGAAUGUGAUAUCUCCUAUCUGCUCAUCUACAUCUGUUCUAUUUUGCCUCUGGUUCUUUGUCUUGGAUUUUAGCUAAUGGGCAAGUCUCCAGACUAUCAUUGUAGUUUGCACUGUGCCUUGUAUGCUCUUGACGUUAGUAAGCAUUAAUUUUUCAAAAUGAGAGAACUGUAGCUUGUCUUCCACUUGGUAGCCUCUUUUGUUUCUAAAGAUAGGAACUAUGUGCUUUAGUGUGAACUUUAUUUUUUGAAUAAAGUUGUUACAACCCAUGGUAACAACUUUAUUCAAAAAAUAAAGGAUUGUUAGGCCCAUAAGGUUUUAUUAAGGUCUGGACAUUAUGUCUGGCUACCCUUGAAUUUUAGCUGAUAAAGGGUGUUGUGGUUUUAUUUGAUGGUGAAAACUCAUAAGCUGAGUUAAAUUUAUAAAGGAUUUUAAUCAACAUUGGACAUUGUCUUCAUACAUUUUCUUCAAAGUGCAUCUCUGGGAAUAGUGGGAGAUAGGGAAAGUUUGGGCACAGGACUUCCCUCCCUGCCCACCCCCCCACACACCUUUUUGGAGCAGAGGACCUUCUUAAGGAGCUUGGCAUCUUUUGGGGAAGAUGAGACACAAUAACAAGAAAACUAAGCAUUGCUAGGUGAGUGGCACAGGCAAGAAUAUCCUUUGGUAGUUCAAAGGAGGAUGCAAUCACAUCUAUUUCUAAUGACCAUGGAACACUGUGUAGGAAGUGGGCUUUGAGCUGGUACUUGAUAAAUAGCACUUCUUUAGGGGAGGUUUGGAUGCAUUCCAAGAAAGGUGAUUAAUAUGAACAACGAUCUAGUGGCAGGAAAUCAAAAAGUGUAUAGAUAAAAUAGGAGUAAGAGCAAAUUAGCUGGUGCUAGAUUGUGGAUAGUCUUGAGUAUUUGAUAAUGAAUAUAUUAAACGAGGGAAGUGACAUGAUUGCUACACUAUCAGUUAGGAGUGGGUUGAGCAAUGAGUAAUUAUGAUUUUCAGUCUCAUGUAAAAUGGCUUAGGAACAUAGUGUGAAGCUGUCAUGGAGGUUCUGUUUUACUGAGUCUUCACUUGAUCUAAUCAUUUACUGCCCAGCCAUUCUUAGGAACUGGCUCUCAUGCUUACAGUUCGGCAUGGAAGCUAGGGUUCUAACUGCCUUUUCACGGUAGCAAUGUGGAAGAAGGGAUGAACAAAGAGAUAAAGGCCUUUUAAAGAAGGUUCUUGAAAACUGUCAUGUACCACCUCCACUUAGUAACAAGGCCACACAAGCUACAAGGGAGGCUGGAAAAUGUUUUCAUUCUGAUAACAAGGUUCUCAGUAAGUGAGAGUUUUGUAUUGUGAAAAAAAGAUAGAAUAGAAAUUGAGGCGAGGGGUUGCUAUUAGCAGUCUCUGCAACACAGGGUUAGAGGAAGAUUUAUCUGGUGGUGAAAUGGUAUGUCAUCAGGAUGAGAGCUAGAUCUCAUAUAGACGUGAGAGUAGUAGUUUAGACGCUGGAAUUAAUGUUUGCAUUUUUAUAUUGAUUAUAAUAAUAUUGAAUCCAACUUGAUUUCAUAGUGAAACUCAUUAAUGUUUUUUCAUGUGAAAAGUGAGUUAGGUAUGUGGCUUUGCUGAUACUUAAAAAAAAAGUUAUAGGAGUAUUGAAUAUCACCAUCUUCCUCUUGUUUUCUUCAACCUCUUUUUUCCAUCUCUGUUCAGCAUAUAAAUGUGUUUUGGUUUCUCCUUAAAAAACAAAAAUAUCCUUUUAUUUUUAUUUUAUUUUUCUUUUUUAGAAACAAGGUCUUGCUCUGUUGCCUGGGCUUCAUUGCAGUGGUACAGUCGUAGCGCACUGCAAACUCAAAACUCCUAGGCUCAAGCAACCCUUCCACCUCAGCCUCUUGAGUAACUAGGACUAUAGGUGCAUGCCACCAGGACUGGCCAAUUUUUAAAUUUUUGCUAGAGAUGGGGGUCUCGCUUGGUUGCCCAGGCUGCUCUUGACCUCCUGGCCUCAAGCAGUCCUCUUGCCAUGUCCUCCCAGAGUGUUGGGAUUACAAGCAUUGUUAGCCACCGCACCUGGCCUUUUUUUAAAAAAAAUAGAGAUGGGGCCUUGCCGUUGCCCAGGCUAGAGUGCAGUGGCAAUGUUCAUAGCUCACUGUAGCCUCAAACUCCUGGGCUCAAGUGAUCUUCUUGCCUCGGCCUCCCGAGUAGCUGGGAUUACAGGCGCAAGCCACUGUGUCUGGCUUAAUUGUAUUUCAUAAUAAAACUAUUAAUAAUGACUAACAUUUUUUGAGAGUAUACUCUGCUAAGAGUUUUACAUACAUCAUGUUAGUUGAUACAGUGACACUUAACAAGGGUAACAUUAUUCUCUCCAUUUUUUUUUUUUUUUUUUUUUUGGAUGAGGACAUUGAAUCUGAGAUUAAGUCUUCUGCUUAGUCACAAAGGUGGGAUUCAUACUUUAGCCAUCUGACCUCUUGUUUAGUUUCCUGUAGUUUCCUGUAUUCUCUUUCCACACAAUCUGUUUAAAAAGAAGGGUCCGUGCUUAUUGCCAAUGUCCAUUCCCAUCUCCCUUUAACUCCUUAAUUUGCUGCAUUUGAAGUAUGUUAAAUGGUAAAAAAUCCUAUGAAGAAGAAUGAAGGAAGGGUUGAUGGUUUAUAAUUUUAAAUAGGGUAGCCAGGGGAAGCCUCAGUAAAAUGGCAUUUGAAUAAAGAACCAAAAGAGGGAAGAGAGUGAACCAUAUUGAUAUGUGAGGGAAGAAUGUUCCAGGCAGAAGAAAUAGUAAGAGCAUAGGUCCUGAGGAAUGUGCUUAGUUAGGUGUUUGAGGAACAACAAAGAGGCCAAUAUGGCUGAAGUAGAGGGGGAAGAAUGGUAGAAGAUGAGGGUAUUGGGAAGUAUUAGGAGGAAUAUCACAUGAAGCACUAUAAGAACUUUGGCUUCUCCGCUCAGUUUAGUGAGAAGCUAUUGAAAAGUUUUGCACAGAUAGGUGUUAUUAUUUCACUUAUGUUUAAAAAGAAUCACUCUGGCCUUGACAUGGAGAAUAUUGCCUGGUAAAUAAGAGUAAAGCAGGGUAUUUCUGACAGGAAAAAGCCAAAGCAUAUUUCCUAGUCUCGCACACCACUCAACACUUCUGACACCACAUGUGUGGAAAUUUUUCCCUACACACCAUCCAGUUCUGACACCAGAUUCUCCAGCACACAGCAAUUGGGUGUCCUAUAAUUUCGUUAAAUUCUGGCACUAUCUACUAGGAGAUAGUAUCAGAUCCCACAGGGUAGGGGCUCAGUCCCACAAGACUGCCUCUCACUUUAGAUGCCAAUUGUAAGUCCCAGGCUGCGACCUGUACUUCUGGCCAAAUUGCUAUAAACUGGUGUUUCCAUGACGCCCUCCUUGAGUUUGCUUUAUUUGCUAGAGCGGCUCAUAGAACUCAGGUAAACACUUUAUUUACGUUUACCCGUUUAUUAUAAAGGAUAUUACACAGGAUACAGAUGAAAAACCAGAUGGAAGAGAUGUAAAAGGAGAUGUUUGGAGAAGGGGUUCAGAGCUUCCAUGUGCUCACUGGGGUGCCACACUUCAGGCACUUCCAUGUGUUCAGCUAUCUGGAAGCUCUCUGAACCCUGUCUUUUUGAGUUUUCAUGAAGGCUUCAUUAUGUACACAUGAUUGACUCAAUAAUUGACCGUUGGUGAUCAGCUCAGUCUUCAGUCACUCUGCCUCCUGGGACUCAACCUUCAGUCCCUUUCCCCUUCCCACAGGUCUAUUCAUGCCUUGGUCUUUCUAGUGACCAGCUUCCAUCCUGAAGCUAUUUAGGGGGCACCAACCACCAAUUGUAUCAUUAGCAUAUGAAAGACACUCAUCACUCAGAGACUGUAAGAGUUUUUUUUAGGAGCUCUGUACCAGGAAACUGGGAGCAAAGAUUAAAUAUGUAUUUCUUACUGUAAAUCACAAUAUCACACAGGGAAACCAGUUAAGAGGCUAUUGCAAGUAAUUCAAGCAGGAGAUGAUGGUGGUCACAGUAGAAUGGUUGCAGUGAAAAGCAGUUAGAUAUAGAAUAUAUUUAUGAAAGUAGAGCUAAAAGAAUUUUCUCAUGCAAUUGAUAUAUGGGGUGUAAGAGAAAAGUGAAGAAUCAAAGAUGACUAAGAUAUUUUGAUUUGUAGCUGGAAGGAUGGAGUUGUCAUUUUUCAAGAUGGGGAAGAUUGUAGGAAAAUGAGGUUUUAAGUAUGCUAGUAAGAGGAUGUGGUGGGGGAAGCAGAAUAAAUAGUUCAAUAUUUGACUUGUUAGGAUGAGAUGCCAUUAGACAUCCAAGUUGGGAAUAAUGAGUAGGCAAACAAAUAUAGAGUUCAAGGGGAAGGUUGAGACUAGAGUUACAUAUUUUGAGGGUUAAUCAGCAUAGAUGAUGUAUAAAGGCCUAAUUAGCAUAGAUGGUGUAUAAAGGCCUAAGAUAGGAUGAAAUCAUAAGAGUGAUUUAUAGGUCAAAGAAAAGUAAGAAGAUCCCUGAGUCACUCCAGUGUUUAGAGGCUGGGGAGCUAAGGAGGAACUAGCAAAGGAGACUGAAAAGGAGCAGCCAGUGAGGUAGGACAAAAACAUGGAAACUGGUACCCUGGAAUCAAAGGAAGAGCUUGUAAACAACAUGCCAAAUGUUGUUGCUCAUGGUUCACAGAAGAGCAGGACUGAGAACUGACUUUUUUUUUUUUUUUUUGAGACAGAGUCUCGAUCUGUCACCCAGGCUGGAGUGCAGUGGCACGAUCUUGGCUUACUGCAAGCUCCGCCUCCCAGGUUCAUGCCGUUCUCCUGCCUCAGCCUCCUGAGUAGCUGGGACUACAGGCGCCCGCCACCAGGCCUGGCUAAUUUUUUGUAUUUUUAGUAGAGACGGGGUUUCACCGUGGUCUCGAUCUCCUGACCUCAUGAUCCGCUCGCCUUGGCCUCCCAAAGUGCUGGGAUUACAGGUGUGAGCCACCGCGCCCGGCCUGAGAACUGACUUUUGAUUUAGUGACAUGAAAAGCAGUGGUAAACCUUACAGAGAGUGGCAUCACCAUCCAUAGGGUUUUUCAUGCCAGAAACCCUGGAAAUCAACCUAAGUGUAUUUGCCCUCAUCCCAUCUCUAGGCACUAAGUUCUGUAGAUUCUACCUUCUCUUUCUUUUGUGAAUCUGUCUUUUGUAUUCCUGCUGCCACUUUAUUAGUUUAAGUUCUCAACAUUUUUCACCUGGAUUAUUGUGGUGGCAUUCUGUCUGGCAUUCUCUUUAAUCUCUCUGCACAUUGGUGCCACAGUGAUUCUUUUUGAGAGGCUAGUUUUAAUGUUUCCUUCUUUUAUUUAAAAUUUCUCUUAUGGCUGUUUCUGUCUAGCAUUCAGGAUACUGUUCAAACCCCUUUACAUAGAGUGUAAUUUUCUUCAUGAUAGGCUACUUUCUGCUUUUCUAGCCACAUCUCCUACCACUCCCCUACCUUAUGCUCUAGUCAUGGCAAACUACUAUAGUUUCUGGAAUGUGACAUGCUAAUAGUUUACCUGAAAUGACCUUCCUUUUCUUAUUCUAUCACAUUUUCACAUGCAGUUCCUAUUAACAUGGAAAGUCUUCCUUGAUUCUCCUUUUUCCACCUGGUAUAUAUGCUUCUCUCAGUUUCCAGAAGUACUAGCUUACAGCCUGCCUUAAAAUUAUAUUAUCCUGUAAUUAUUCAUAAAUGUGACUUUCUAUCCCACUUGUCUGUAAAUUCUUUUGUAGCAUGAACAAUGUAUUUUUCCAUUUUGUAUUCUCAUCCUGUAGACAGUGCCUAGCACCUAAUAGGGACUCAGGUUUGAAUGAGUGAAUGAAACUCAGUCAGUACCAUCAAGACAUCUUAACACAGUUUGUUGAGAGUUUUUUGGUCAUCUGAAUGGUAUUAUGGGUCUGAAGGAGUUCUUGAAAUUACCCAAGGAAAAUAUUAUAUACUAUAAAUCAAACUUGUAUAACUGUGAUAUCCAUCCAUAUCUAAAGGCAAAACAAAUUUGCCUAUUGAAGAGUAAUCUAGAGAGUGCUGAAAAUUUAACAAACAGGUUAUUUGGCAAAUGCUGCAGCAAAGAGAGACAAAUAUCAAAACUAUAUCAUGUUCCAAGCCCCCAGUCAGGGAUGUAGUCUCUCUUUGUACUCUCUCCCUGUAGAUAACAUCUACUCGGCAGCUUUCAUGGAGAAAUUUGCUGACUACUAGACUAGCUUGUAUUGCCAUACCACCUAUACUUUUUUUUUUUUUUUAAUAAAAAUAUCCAUUCUAUUUUAAUGUUGUUUUCUGUGUUAGAUACUGAACUCCAGGAGGUCAGGUGCUAGGCUGAAUCCUCAUUGCUGGGACCAUAGAGGCAUUCAUAAAUGUUAGGUGAAUGAAUGAUUACGUCAUGAUGGGCAGUCAGAAAGAAAUGAAAGUCCUAUUUCCUAUCUGUUUAUAUGCAAAUAUUUGAUUAUGUUGUUCUCCUCAAAACUCUUCAGUUCCUUAUUUCCUGCCGGACAUUUUAACACUCGGUUACUUAGCUUGCUGAGGCUUUAUUGUCAGCAGCAGUAACCAGCUCUGGCUAGCUUAGACAGGAAAGAAAGUAUUAAAGGAGGAUUGGGUAACUCUCACACAAAAUGGAUGGGACGUACAGAGAGUCAGGUUUGGAGACAAGUGGGAAGUAAGGGAGUUUUGAAAGUAUAAACAGUCUGAUCCAGAUGCCACAGCUGCUGUUGAAUUUCUCUUGCUAGACUACUACUGUGACUGCUCAUUUAAUCACAUCCACUCUUUGUUUCCCAGGAUUCACUGGUCUAUGUGGGAGUGUCUGAUUGCUGAGUCUAGCUCUUGUACCUUUACACUGGCUACCAUGGGUUUAUGGAGAGGAAGAACCCAUCUCUCCCUUUGGUUUCUGAAGUGGGAGGUGGAGCCCUGCAUCCUUCCAAAACUCACAAUGGACAGUUCCACAAAACUUGGAAACAAUUCCAGCAAUUGCCAGGAAAGGGCGCUCCUUGAAGAUGGAACAAUGGUGAGAGCACACUUGAACAAAGGAAAAGCAACAUAUUUAUCCCUUAUGCAUUUGGAUCAUCCUUACUGUCGUAUCCUGCAUCCAUUGGCUGGAGCUGGACCUCACAGUUUUAAACUGAUACCCGAUUUGCUAAUAACCUAAAACUUUCCUAAAUAGGUAAGUGCAAGGGAGAACAAAGAAGGAGAGGAAGUUGCUUAUGAAAGGUUUAAGGAAGCAAUAACAUUUCCAAAUAAGGAAGGGGCAUAAGCUAUGAGCUAGGACUUGCUUGGGCUUGUCCAGGCAUGCCUGAGUAAGCCGAAGCAACUAACUGGGCUAAAGUGUAAGAACUAAUAGUUGAUAGGAGGCUUUAGAGUAAGAAGUUAUUAUUUCUAGUGUCUAUUGUUUUAUUUUUAAACCAAGAUGAGCUUUGAAGAGGAGCUUUUCUACUUUCUACAUGUGUAUUAAGUACUUACAAUGCCCAGCACUUAGUAUACAUUCAAUAAACAGUAGUCAGUGAAAUACAGUAUAUAGUUUUGGGUCCAGUUUACCUUCUUAGCUGCCUCAUUUCCUUCCAACAUGAAAACUCCAUAAAUACAAAAUGUGUAUGCUAUUGUCCUUAAAUAUACCUUGUGAUUUCCACCUCUGUCUUCUCCAUAUGCCACCUCUUUCUCUCUUUUCCAUCUUUCUUUUAUGGCUCUGUUCAAAUCUUUGCUGCUUCUCAGUAAGAAAGAAGUGUUGGUCCAUCUAUUAUUCCUCUAUGCCAUCUAGUUUGGCACUUAGAAUUUAAGGUAGUUUUCUUGGUAUUUAUAUGUUAUCUUUGAUAAAGUAGUCUGCUAGAGGGCAAAGGGGACUGACUAUUUUGGGGGAAAAAAUGGUUUAGUAGAAGAAACAUGAGGCUUGGAGUCAGAAAUCCUUGGUUCCAGCUUAGCACUAGCUAUUACUACUUGUGUGACCUUGGACAAGUUUCUGAAUGUGUUCUUUUUAUAUAAAAUGGAGAUAAUGCUAUAGAAUUUUGGUGAGGGUCAGAUGAAAUAUGUAUGUGAAGGAACAGGCUGUGUAAACUGUAUAACGUAUGAUUGCUUUUGUGUGUAUCUUGUAUCUAAUGUCAUGCCUUACACAUAGGCUUAAUAUAUUAAUGAUAAUGAUUUUUUUAAAUAGUCCUUUCAGAUUUUCAUGGCAUCAAAAGACAUGUAAUUUUUUAAUACAUUUAAAAAAUCAUAAUCAGAUUGUGAUGAAGAUGUUAUAGCUAUCUUUCAUUUUGUUCAUGUGUAAUUUAAUAUUCAGUGAUUACUCUUGGUUCCAAUAAAAUGUUAUAUUGUUAUAUUUUA